rnacentral:rRNA from 1 species
GGACCCGCACAAGCGGUGGAGUAUGUGGUUUAAUUCGAUGCAACACGAAGAACCUUACCAGGGUUUGAAAUCAUUUCAAAACUCCUUGAAAGAGGAGCCUCCUUCGGGAUGAAAUGACAGGUGGUGCAUGGCUGUCGUCAGCUCGUGUUGUGAAAUGUCGAGUUAAGUCUCGUAACGAGCGCAACCCAUGUCUCUUGUUGCUCACUGAGUGCUUAAGAGAGACUGCCGACCAACAUCGGAGGAAGGUGUGGAUGAUGUCAAGUCAGCAUGCCCCUUACAUCCUGGGCUACACACGUACUACAAUGGUAAGGACAAUGAGCUGCGAUCCUGCGAAGGCUAGCCAAUCUCAAAAACCUUAUCUCAGUUCGGAUUGCACUCUGCAACUCGAGUGCAUGAAGGUGGAAUCGCUAGUAA